GACAAGGUGGCCGAGUGGGUAAGGCGAUGGACUGCUAAUCCAUUGGGCUCUGUCCGCGUGGGUUCGAAUCCCAUCCCCGUCG
rnacentral:tRNA from 1 species